GACGAACGCUGGCGGCGCGCUUAACACAUGCAAGUCGAACGGAAAGGCCUGCUUUCCCUUGUGGAUUGCGGGUACUCGAGUGGCGAACGGGUGAGUAACACGUGAGUGAUCUGCCCCCAACUUGGGUAUAAGCCUGGGAAACUGGGUCUAAUUCCCGAUAGGACUGCAGGGUGGUGCCUGUGGUGGAAAACGAUUUUCUAGUGGUUGGGGAUGAGCUCGCGGCCUAUCAGCUUGUUGGUGGGGUAAUGGCCUACCAAGGCGGCGACGGGUAGCCGGCCUGAGAGGGUGGACGGCGACAGUGGGACUGAGAUACGGCCCAGACGCCUACGGGAGGCAGCAGUGGGGAAUAUUGCACAAUGGGCGGAAGCCUGAUGCAGCGACGCCGCGUGGGGGAUGACGGCCUUCGGGUUGUAAACUCCUUUCGACCGCGAGGAAGCCACCUGGUUGGAAGGGUGGUGACGGUAGUGGUAGAAGAAGCACCGGCUAACUACGUG
rnacentral:rRNA from 1 species